GUGAAUCAUCAAAUUUUUGAACGCAAAUUGCGCCUUUUUCGGAAGGCAUGUCUGUUUGAGGGCACCAUUUAACAAAUAAUGUGCGGCGUUUUUUGUUGCACACGUUGAUGAGCUUUCCAAGAAUUUUAAAUUUUUGGUGGCGCAUAAUGACAGCGGGAAAGUUUUUUUCAGUUUGAGUGUAGUAAAAUUUUUGCUUUGGUUGUUGAAAAACAUAAUCGCCCAAUGGGUUUGGCAAUUUUUUUUUAACCCUUCCCCCAU
rnacentral:misc_RNA from 1 species